rnacentral:rRNA from 1 species
AUUGAACGCUGGCGGCAGGCUUAACACAUGCAAGUCGAGCGGGGUGAGGUGCUUCGGUACUGAUCCUAGCGGCGGACGGGUGAGUAAUGCUUAGGAAUCUGCCAUUUAGUGGGGGACAACAUUCCGAAAGGAAUGCUAAUACCGCAUACGUCCUACGGGAGAAAGCAGGGGAUCUUAGGACCUUGCGCUAAAUGAUGAGCCUAAGUCGGAUUAGCUAGUUGGUGGGGUAAAGGCCUACCAAGGCGACGAUCUGUAGCGGGUCUGAGAGGAUGAUCCGCCACACUGGGACUGAGACACGGCCUAGACUCCUACGGGAGGCAGCAGUGGGGAAUAUUGGACAAUGGGCGGAAGCCUGAUCCAGCCAUGCCGCGUGUGUGAAGAAGGCCUUUUGGUUGUAAAGCACUUUAAGCGAGGAGGAGGCUACCUAGAUUAAUACUCUGGGAUAGUGGACGUUACUCGCAGAAUAAGCACCGGCUAACUCUGUGCCAGCAGCCGCCGUAA